UGUGGAAGCGAGCCUGCUCGCGAUGCGUCAGCACAUUCAGUAUUGAUGUGACUGACACACCGCUUUCGCGAGCAGGCUCGCUCCCACA
rnacentral:misc_RNA from 1 species